UCCCUGGUGAUCCAGUGGCUAAGAUUCUGCACUCCCAUUCCGCAUACUGCACAAUGCAGGAGGCCUGGGUUCGAUCCCUGGUCAGGGAA
rnacentral:tRNA from 1 species